GUGCUUGCUUCGGCAGCACACAUGCUAAAAUCGGAACAAUACACAGGAGAUUAGCAGGGCCCCUGGGCAAGGAUGACACGCAAAUUUGUGAAGCAUUCCAGAUUUUU